UACAGAGGUCCCAAGCGUUGUUCGGAUUCACUGGGCGUAAAGGGUGCGUAGGUGGUUGUGCAAGUCUGAUGUGAAAUCUCCGGGCUUAACCCGGAAAUGGCAUUGGAAACUGCAUAGCUAGAGGGUUGGAGGGGGGACUGGAAUACUUGGUGUAGCAGUGAAAUGCGUAGAUAUCAAGUGGAACACCAGUGGCGAAGGCGAGUCCCUGGACAACACCUGACACUGAGGCACGAAAGCUGGGGGAGCAAACAGG
rnacentral:rRNA from 1 species